CGACGUCCGUUUGUCGCUGACGAGGCGGGCCGUGGAUCAGUUUCGGCGUUCUCGUCUGAUCCGUGGACCAGGAAGUCGAUGGGCCCAGGCGGAAAUUGUACGGGUGGUCUGGUUCCUUCGUGACCUCACUUCGGAGCUCGAGGCUGGCGGCGGCGGCGACCCCAUGGAGUUCCUGAUGCAGCCUAUACGCCGGUACUUCUUCCCCGGUUGUCCUUGCGUUUUUUAGCGACCAGAUGUGUGUUUUGAAAAGAUUUGGUUUGGCCUGGAUCAGAUCCACUUUCCUAGAGGUGGUGGGAGCGAGUUUGGUGCCCCCACCAGUACCGCGGAGCCGACUGUGGUGGCUAUGGUGGUGGAGCAUCAGGUGGUGGUGGAACAGGUGGUGGCGGCGCAGGAGGCUCCGAUGGGCAGCGUGGACGCACAGAUCUUGGCGACCAAGGGAGCGUCGGCUGAUAUGAGGGACAGCUUGCCACCGACCUCGGAGCUGUCAAUUGGAAGAUGAAUCCCCGAGCGCUUCGAUGGAGUAGCGUCUGCAGUGGCAACGAGGCGGGGCAGCUGAGCUACGGAUCGGAAUCGGCAGAUCCAAUAUUAUUCAGAAAGUAGGGAAAGUUUGGUGCCAUGCGAUUUGCUGCAAAUGGGACUGCCGAAUCAGGUGGAGGUGCCGCGGCAGCAUCCCACGGCAGGAUCUUCGGGCCUGCUGCGGUGGUGGCGAACAGAAGGGAUAACUCGCCUAGUUGCCUUCAACCAUCGGGCUCUCCGCGGGGAAGAUGAAUCCCCAGGCCCCGGCUGAAAUAAAAGGUGUGUUUGUGUUUGCUGGCUGAGAAUUGGUGCUGCCGCACCCAGCAGGACACAUCUUGCAUUAGUGACUUCGAGAAGGCUGUCAGGUGUUUUUAUAGAAAAGCCAACUGAUAGUGUGACCGCUCCAGUUCUUGGCAGUACUUUCGACUCACUUGGCAAGGGUAAAGUUGGUGUUCAGAACAGAAGGUCUUGCCAUUGCGAAUGUCUGGCUCUGAUAAAGACUUUUACAAGCAGAGGACAAUGUUUGAUACUCCUCUGUAAAGAAAUAUAUUAUUUCUUUACAAAGGGAGUACAUUAAGCAUAGAGAGAGUCAUAAUAUUCGCUUUCACUGAAUUUGGCGAGAUAAUCCACAGUUAGAGAAGCAGGAGAGAGUUUGAGGCAAGUAACCCGUGGUAGUAAUCAUACUAGUGGAGGUGCUGAUGCUGGCUCUGGGAGGGGUACGAGGGGGCAGAACAAGAGUUGUUGUGUUAACAAUGCAGUGACAGGUUGUGAGAUCAUUCAGAUUGACUGACUGAGUGUUGUGAGAUCAUUGAAAUUUUGCUGCGACAUUUUGAAUUUGCAGGGGAUGGGACACCUUGCGAUGUGCCUGAAGCCUUGAUGCAAUAUGACCGCAAUGAUGUUGCUGGACAAUCAGACAUCCAUGAGCAUGAGGAUGAAGUGGGUAGGGGAUUGUGCGUGAUGUCAGGCUGGAUGAGGAGUAACCUAAGGUUGCAGAUAGGCAUGGUCAGGACAUCGUGAAGGGUGAGAUGGGUGAUAAGUUCCGAGGAAAAGCUGGUUUGAAGGAUGAAGAGCCAAACGCAAGAGACAUGCUACUUUCUAUGACAGGAUGUUGUCAUGCACUUCCAGAGAACUUAGCAAGAGAAGACUUCGUGAGGGAGUUCGGACCAAACGGGCUGUUGACAGUGGAUUCGUGUGUCGCGGCUGAUCAUUACAAGGAAGGUCGGAUGUUUGAUAGUUGACAGAUCAGGUGGCACCACGUCUUUGACUUGCGGUUUGUGAUGAUGCUGCCGGUGCCAAUGUACGAGGUCCAUAGUGUAUGAGGUGAUUUUGAUGAGGGGGACAGGGUUGAGCUGCCAGAUUUCAUGCUUGAAGUGCUCUUUCUUAGGUAUGAGUUAUACGGAUGUAGUAUUUUAGAUCCGGUGUCUGCGAGAUUGAUUAUGAAACACGCUGUGUACAUUAGACACUGGAGGGGAAUGUUAGCUACCAUCUCAUUUUGUGGUGUGGUAGUGAUUCUAAGCCCAGUGUUUGCCACAUUGAGCCUAACCUGUAUUUUGAGCAAGACAUGGCAAGCUAGAUUACAUCCUAGUCAGCUGGCGUGGAAGUGCUUGUGAUCACUCUGUGCUUAGCUAUACUAUAUUUGCAUGUAAGGAUUGACAUGCCACAUGUUGAAGGUGGUAACUGAACCAACAGAUGAUGAAUCGUUGGUUUUUAAGAUUUGUAAGUGCUUUGUUAAGAUUGUAGUGCAGAACUCUGUAAGGUGUUCAUUUUGCAAUUAAUGCUGUUCAGAACCA